AAUCCGUGUUGUGGGCACUUGCGCAAGAGAUCCUUGAAUCGCUACCAUGUCUCAAAUAAUGACUCAAGAUCCAUCUGAACAAACAACGAUAUCUCAUUACAAAGCUU